GUGGGCUCUACAUAAAACUCAUUUGAUCCGUUAAAACUCCUCUGGGCAUUGCGGUACAUUCUCAUCCCCUGCCCUCCUCCUCCUCCUCCACCACCAUAGAAAUUAUAGUCCUGAAGAGGAGGGAUGGAAGAAGAAGAGGAAUUUUGAAGGUGUUGAAGACCAGCAGAUUGAAGCCAUCUACCAUUAGAAGAAGAGUCUAAGAAAUUAUCAGAGUACUGUCUCUGGUGAUGCACCGCUG
rnacentral:misc_RNA from 1 species